AGGCCCUGCAAAGAAAACAGCAAAGUCAAAAUCCUGAAAGGGUAGCGAGUUUCCUCCUACUCUCAGGUUUACAGCUACCAACUGCUGGAUUAUUUUAAGUAACUUAAACGGAUUUUUGUGAACUUAAUCCUGAAAGCACUGUAUGGGACUUUUGUCUAUUCUUCCGAGUCUCACCACGUUAACCUGAGCAAAGGAACUCAAGGGAAAAUAUGCUUGUGAGACUAGACCUUGUUCAUUCACAAUUCGGCAAAAAUACAUCUGGCUAAUUUUCCUGCUGUGGUCAUGUUAACUAUAGAUGUACUUUAUCAGCUUAAUUUCAAGAGCCUGUUUUAGGACAAGGACUAUUUGGAGAAGAUAAAGCCAUCUUUAGUAUAUCAAACAUGUGCAAUCCUAUUCCAUCCACGUCCUGUGUCUGGGACUGGAAGCAGGUCUGGAGCGAUAUCCCACUUUACACUGCCUCUCACCUGCACUCUGACCACACAUCCAUUUGCCAGGGCUGUUGCCGCUAUUUCCAACUCACCAAGGAAGCACCAUGCAUAUUUACUUUAAAUCAACCUGACUCAAAAAUAUUUUUCUUUCUUCUCUGUUCCCUGCAUGGUGAAUCUCUCUCCCUGCCUCAAAUAAUGCUUCAGAUCCAUGCUGAUCACAGUUCCUGAUCUGUGCCAAGCGGACUUGUCAGAAAUGUGGCCAUCUUCAACUCAUGCCAAGAACCUCUUAAAAAUACGAUCCCUAGCAUACUAGACUAGAAACAUCCUGCACACGCUUCCCAAAUAUUACGUGAAAAGCUACUUAAUUUUCUAAAAUUUUCUUCACACAAAACCAUUUCUUUAAUGAGUUGUGGUACAUUUACAGCAAAUAAUUGCUUUCUAUUUGUUGGACAAAGUAACUGGAAUGAAGAAGAGAGAAAUCACAUUCAUUCCAUUUAUCACUUGAGGUACCAAACUUUUGGGUAGGAGGAGCAUAAUUUUAUAGCUGGGAUGCUUAAUGUGACAUCGUAACAUGACAUUAAGCUGUGUACCUUCGUAACUGAACCUAUGAGGGAAUCAGCUACAAGAUACCAAUCUGUAAUUCAGUUCUACAAGGUGAAAAAAGCAUGUGACUGAUCUAAGAAAGCACAAAAGCACAUCUUGAAAUUGACAGCACAAUAAUUCAUAUCUGUCAAUACAAUAUCCAGCUUAAAUUAAAGACAAAUUUGCUUGGUACGUUCUCAGCAUUAUUCUGCAAUAUUCUAUAUGACAAGCACGCUACUAAAUGCCACUUUUUUUAAAAUUAUACACAUGAAUACUAGCAUAGUUAAAAUUAAUUGCCAAGAAUAAUGGAACUGAAGUAAUGCAAACUUGUCUUAUAAAAAUCACUUUUUUUUUUUUUUUUUUAUCAGCGUGACAGACUUUUCAUUAACCCAAGCAAGUGCUAUGUUGUCUAUCUCUUUGGCAACUACAAAGAGUUACAAAGAUAAAAGCUCUAAUAAAAACAUAAAUGGUUGUAAA